CUACGGAGGGUGCAAGCGUUAUCCGGAAUCAUUGGGUUUAAAGGGUCCGCAGGCGGAUUAAUAAGUCAGUGGUGAAAUCCUCUCGCUCAACGAGAGAACUGCCAUUGAAACUGUUAGUCUUGAAUUCGGUCGAAGUAGGCGGAAUGUGUCAUGUAGCGGUGAAAUGCAUAGACAUGACACAGAACACCGAUAGCGAAGGCAGCUUACUAGACCUGGAUUGACGCUCAUGGACGAAAGCGUGGGGAGCGAACAGGAGUAGAAACCCCAGUAGUCC
rnacentral:rRNA from 1 species